CCUACGGGAGGCUGCAGUGAGGAAUAUUGGUCAAUGGACGAGAGUCUGAACCAGCCAAGUAGCGUGAAGGAUGACUGCCCUAUGGGUUGUAAACUUCUUUUAUAUGGGAAUAAAACGUUCCACGUGUGGGAUUUUGUAUGUACCAUAUGAAUAAGGAUCGGCUAACUCCGUGCCAGCAGCCGCGGUAAUACGGAGGAUCCGAGCGUCAUCCGGAUUUAUUGGGUUUAAAGGGAGCGUAGGUGGAUUGUUAAGUCAGUUGUGAAAGUUUGCGGCUCAACCGUAAAAUUGCAGUUGAAACUGGCAGUCUUGAGUACAGUAGAGGUGGGCGGAAUUCGUGGUGUAGCGGUGAAAUGCUUAGAUAUCACGAAGAACUCCGAUUGCGAAGGCAGUUCACUGGACUGCAACUGACACUGAGGCUCGAAAGUGUGGGUAUCAAACAGGAUUAGAUACCCGUGUAGUC
rnacentral:rRNA from 1 species